UGGGGAAUAUUGGACAAUGGGGGCAACCCUGAUCCAGCCAUGCCGCGUGUGUGAAGAAGGCCUUUUGGUUGUAAAGCACUUUAAGCAGUGAAGAAGACUCUUCGGUUAAUACCCGGAGACGAUGACAUUAGCUGCAGAAUAAGCACCGGCUAACUCUGUGCCAGCAGCCGCGGUAAUACAGAGGGUGCAAGCGUUAAUCGGAAUUACUGGGCGUAAAGCGAGCGUAGGUGGCUUGAUAAGUCAGAUGUGAAAUCCCCGGGCUUAACCUGGGAACUGCAUCUGAUACUGUUAGGCUAGAGUAGGUGAGAGGAAGGUAGAAUUCCAGGUGUAGCGGUGAAAUGCGUAGAGAUCUGGAGGAAUACCGAUGGCGAAGGCAGCCUUCUGGCAUCAUACUGACACUGAGGCUCGAAAGCGUGGGUAGCAAACAGG
rnacentral:rRNA from 1 species